rnacentral:tRNA from 1 species
GGCGCUGUAGCCAAGUGGUUAAGGCGAUUGAUUCGAAAUCAAUUCCACUUUGUGGGCGCAGGUUCAAAUCCUGCCGGCGUCG